UACGUAGGUGGCAAGCGUUGUCCGGAUUUACUGGGCGUAAAGGGCGUGCAGGCGGUCUGUUAAGUGCAGGGUGAAAGCUCCCGGCUCAACUGGGAGAGGUCCUUGCAUACUGGCGGACUUGAGGGGGGUUAGAGGAAAGUGGAAUUCCCGGUGUAGUGGUGAUAUGCGUAGAUAUCGGGAGGAACACCUGUGGCGAAGGCGGCUUUCUGGGCCCUACCUGACGCUGAGACGCGAAAGCGUGGGGAGCGAACCGG
rnacentral:rRNA from 1 species